rnacentral:lncRNA from 1 species
AGUGAUGGCUGUCCUCGAGACCUUGAAGCUGGGUGCCAACAUCCCUCGGGAGGCUAAGUCCUGCAUCUGCGUCAUGCAUGGCGGCAGCAGCAGGCGUUUGUCUCGACGUUUUCAAGUCUGCAUCUGCGUUAGCAGGCGAGUAGAUUGAGGCCUUGUUUAGUUCCCAAAUUUUUUUUGGUCGGGAUACUGUAGCAGUUUCGUUUAUGUGCUUACAUAUACGAGUUUCUAUGGAUAGCAAUUAUGAUUUGGACUAAAUAAAUAAUAGAUUUCGUAAAUUGUUAUCAUGUGUUUUGAUUUUCUAUGCUUCUUGAGCCAACCGUGUAAUUAAGAAAUCAUCUGGAAUUCUAUACAUUGUUAGAGCACAUUUUAUACAUUGUUGAAACAUAAUUUUAUACAUUUAUAUAUUGUUGGAACUCAAUUUUAUAUGUCUUAUGCUUUUCAAUUUUCUAGUAUUUGCAUCAAUGCGAGUUUUUAUUCUAGCAUUAGUGAGUUUCUAUACAUACAUUCAAUUUUAUUUGACAAGAGGCUAAAAUUGCCUUUUUUUUUGUGAAACUACAUAUAUGAGCGUGGUGCCAAUUGGCGGUGGCGGAUUGGGGCGUGGACAACGUAAUGGCAUGGCACAGUCAAGGAUAUCUUCCACAUGUCCAUUUUUGAUUUUUAUACUUCUUGAGUCACAGUUUCUAUGUCAUGGAUUUUUAUGUUUUGAUUCAAUUUAGUGUCUAUGCAUUAUUCCUCUAUUAAUUGUAUGUCCCCAAAGUGACAAAAUGGUUUGAGUUGUGUUCGUCACGGUUUUUGGAUAAAUAAAUCUCCUAUAUGGGAGGGUUUUAUUAGGUUCUAUACAUUGUUUCUCUAUUAAUUAUACAUCCACACAAGUAGGAGGAAAAGUAAAAGUUUAUGUUGGGACCAUAAUACAUUUUUGUGCAUAUUUUAUACGUUGUUGGGUGGGUGCAGCCAGCUAGUCGAAGGAAUAAGUGAAUUUUUUAUGAACGUGAAUUAUGUUUUUUUGCUGUAUAAAAAUAUUUGUCACUGUAACUUGGUAUAUAUUGUUGGUAUACGAUUCUACGCAUUAUUGAUUUAUAAUUCUAUACAUUGUAAGAGCAAUUUUUAUGUGGUAAAAAAAAUAACUUUUAUUCACCGAAAUACUAAUUUCUAUGCAAUGCGAUAAAAACAUUUAUGCGCAUAUUGACUACUAAUUCUAUGGUGUGCGUAUGGGUAGUAAUGAUGGUGUUGUAAUCGGCCCCCAUACUAUGAAGCAUGAUGUUACAGAGAAUAAUGAUUGUGUCAG